GCGCGAAAACUUUACAAUGCUGGCAACAGCGAUCAGGGAACCUCGAGUGCCAGGUUACAAAUCUGGCUGUCGAGAUGCCUAAAAAGCAUUUCAUAGCAAGGGCCGGGCAAGACCGGUGCCAGCCGCCGCGGUAACACCGGCGGCUCGAGUGGUAACCGUUAUUAUUGGGUCUAAAGGGUCUGUAGCCGGCCGGAUAAGUCUCUUGAGAAAUCUGGCAGCUUAACUGUCAGGCUUUCAGGAGAUACUGUCUGGCUAGAGGCCGGGAGAGGUGAGAGGUACUUCAGGGGUAGGGGUGAAAUCUGGUAAUCCUUGAAGGACCACCAGUGGCGAAGGCGUCUCACCAGAACGGACCUGACGGCAAGGGACGAAAGCUAGGGGCACGAACC
rnacentral:rRNA from 1 species